rnacentral:tRNA from 3 species
UGGGGUGUCGUCUAAGGGCAAGACCUCAGAUUUUGGAUCUGAUGAUGGGGGUUCGAGUCCUCCCACCCCAG